ACCGAGUAUUAUCACCUUUGUUGCGGCUAUAAAAAAGAAAGAGCUCAUUGAUCAGCAUCUAGAACAAGCACGAGUGCACGACCAACAUAAGAAAAUCGACGAGACACCAUUAAUUUUCUUGGAAUUCAUGGAAGAUUUCAAGCUCUUUCCAUUGAACUGCUUACUAGAUAUAGUUGAAGAUAUGAUAAUUUUUUGUUAUACUUAUCCAUUGGUGAGAAAAUUACUUCAUAUAUUCUACGAGGAAUUACAGUUUAGAUUCGAUGCAAAUUAUGUUCGAAAUCAUGUAAUGUAGGAAACAUAUGUUAUUCAUCGAUAUUUAAUCAAAGGAUGUGAACACAGCCUCAACUUACCAUUGAGUGAACUAAUGCCAAUUUCUGAGUGAUAAGCGCUCGUUUUCAGUGACGAACUUUGUUUUGCAGUUUGCAAGUUGGCACUAAGCUUCUAACUGACUAUAUCGCUGUGUCGGGGAAAACACAUCUGAAGUCACGAAGAGACCCUCCUUCCGGUUGAUGUUGCUGGUGAUAUUCAUGAAUGGUAUGAGAUUAUUUGAAGGUUGACAAGCAUGCAGAGGCUAAUAGUUGCAAAGGAGUACAAAGGGAUUAACCACUUGGUUCUCUUACUAGGUUGUGGCAGCUCAGAUAGAUUCAUGCUCCCACCGCACAGUAGCGUGUAUCUUCUAAGAUAUGUCCAAAGAACAAAUUGUCCAAAAAGUUGAAGCCGGUGAGAAAAUUCGGGAACAACCCAUUAUUUCAUGCAUCAAUAACAAACCUUACUCUCCUUUAGUUUGAGUUUUUCUGUGUAGCCAGUUGCCCGUGAAGAAAGUGCAAUGAAGAACAUGGAACCUCUGAAGCACGUAGUUCCUCCUAACCUCUGGUUCCUGUGACUGCUUGUAUUCAUUCACCGUAUCUAGGACAAGUCCCUAUCAGACAUUUUUACAGAAAAUGCUUGAUAUAGGAGCUACAAGAACUCGUGAAAACCUAAAAGUUUGAGGUCUGCAACAGGCCCAGAUGUCCAAUUCUAUCAGAAUCUGCACCUCCACUCCUUCGGAUAUUUUACUUCUCCAUUCUGCAUUUGAUUGAUGACUUUAUCUCUGUACAAGGUCCUCACGGUUCUUGUGCUUCUAAGCCAUAUGCUUCUCCUAUCUUAGUUGGCGGUUUCUGAUAACUGGUGAAAGGCUGGUAAACAAGGCUGAGCUCUUAUGUGGUGCAGAAACAGCUAAAACCUGCUUCAGUUAAGUCUCAUUUCUGCACGGUGACAUCUGACUAAUCUCCCUGAACUAACAGACUGACUACAUAGUUUGGACAACAUUUUGUUGGCACAAAUCUUAGGAACAUGAGCAGGAUAGCAACAUGUCUUGUGAAAAUUUUCGGUCUUACAAAAUUUUGUUGCUCAAAUAAGGGUGUGAUUGUUUACCAUUGUAUAUCUCUGAAAUGGGACUACAAAAAAAGAAAAGUAUGCAAAAAUGAUCAAAAGCUGGACUUGGAUAGUUGUCAAAACCAUGAUCAGAUUUUCGGAUGUCUUUAGAUGUAUGGUAAAAGUGGCACAUGCAGAAAUUGGAGCUCUUUUGAUGCAGAAUGCGCCGGUUUAAGUAAAUGUGGCUGCUCAAUGUUUGGACUAAGUUAAUGUUGGCUAUCAAUAAUCUUAGUUGCUAAUUACCUGUUAAGCAAAGCUAGACUCGAUACAAUAGAUAUAUAUUAAGGGCCAAGCCUCAAACAAUAUUCUCUUCUAGGCUACGAGUAACGAGUUUAGGUUACAGAGGUAUGAAUCUAAUUUUUAAAGGGGCAAAUAUACUUGCUAGGAGUUACAAUUAUGUUGAUAAGAAUACAUUUCUAAACAUAGUUUCCUAGGAUAAGAAACACAAAGAAGGGCUAGAAUGAUCAAAACCACUAAUGAUGUUAUGUUGGGGUUAGAUCUGCACUCCAACUAUGUUAUUUGGAAUUCGAAAUUAAGCUUGUAAUAUAUUGUUGGAAGUUACGAAAGUUCACAUUUAACUCA